UACGGGGGGAGCAAGCGUUGUUCGGAUUUACUGGGCGUAAAGGGCGCGUAGGCGGCCUGUUGAGUCGGACGUGAAAUCCCCGGGCUCAACCCGGGAACUGCGUCCGAUACUGGCAGGCUUGAAUCCGGGAGAGGGAUGCGGAAUUCCAGGUGUAGCGGUGAAAUGCGUAGAUAUCUGGAGGAACACCGGUGGCGAAGGCGGCAUCCUGGACCGGUAUUGACGCUGAGGCGCGAAAGCCAGGGGAGCAAACGGG
rnacentral:rRNA from 1 species